CGGUUUUAAUAGAGUGUCGCAGAUGGUUUUGUCCAGGAUUGUAGCUCAAUUUUGUUGCUUGCAGUGUAUCGGAUCUAUGGGUCUUUCAGAUCCCAGAAUUACCUAAUUAAUGUAAAGUCUGCAUAAAGCAGAAAAGGCUCUGCUUUGUCAAUGACCGGUGCCUAUUGAGUGACCAAAUAUUGUCAGCCUAAUCCACUUAUUUGAUUGCUAAUUCUUGUUGCAUUACUUUCAUUGCAAAGCACCUGGAUUACAUGAUUUGCCCAUAAAAUUGCAGCAAUUGAUAAACUUGAGUACAUGGACUGAAUGUAUCAAGCAGAAUGCAUGUUGGCGAUUUUAAGCGAUCUUAGGCGAUUUUAGGCGAUUUAGGAGAAAUUCGACAAUUUUAACCCGCGAUUUAGUGCGAUUUUAGGCGAUUUAGGGCGAUUUAAGGCGAUUUACCGCCCCAGAGUAGGCCUAUUUUAGAGUUAGUAGACGUUCCGUCAGUUCUUUGUUAGAUUUAGUUGACAGGAAUUGAGUAUCAUAGAAACAGUUUAUUAAUGUUUUAAAGUCUUUUAUAUUUUUCAGUCUUUUAUGUUUUUUUUGUUUUAUUUUUACAACAGUCUC